CUUGGCGGCCAUAGCGCAACGGUCCCACCUGAUCCCAUGCCGAACUCAGAAGUGAAACGUUGUAGCGCCGAUGGUAGUGUGGGGCC
rnacentral:rRNA from 1 species